rnacentral:rRNA from 1 species
UACGAAGGGGGCUAGCGUUGUUCGGAAUUACUGGGCGUAAAGCGCGCGCAGGCGGUCUUCCAAGUCAGUGGUGAAAGCCCGGAGCUCAACUCCGGAACUGCCAUUGAAACUGUUAGACUUGAGGAUGAGAGAGGUGAGUGGAAUUCCCAGUGUAGAGGUGAAAUUCGUAGAUAUUGGGAAGAACACCGGUGGCGAAGGCGGCUCACUGGCUCGUAUCUGACGCUCAGGCGCGACAGCGUGGGGAUCAAACAGG